rnacentral:rRNA from 1 species
GAUGAACGCUGGCGGCGUGCUUAACACAUGCAAGUCGAACGAUUAAAGCCCCUUCGGGGGUGUAUAGAGUGGCGAACGGGUGAGUAACACGUGGGCAACCUGCCCCUCACUUCGGGAUAACUCAGGGAAACCUGAGCUAAUACCGGAUACUCCGGGAUGGUCGCAUGGCCGACCCGGGAAAGUUCCGGCGGUGAGGGAUGGGCCCGCGGCCCAUUAGCUUGUUGGUGAGGUAACGGCUCACCAAGGCGACGAUGGGUAGCCGAGCUGAGAGGCUGGUCGGCCACACUGGGACUGAGACACGGCCCUGACUCCUACGGGAGGCAGCAGUGGGGAAUCUUGCGCAAUGGGCGAAAGCCUGACGCAGCAACGCCGCGUGCGGGAUGAAGGCCUUCGGGUUGUAAACCGCUUUCAGCAGGGACGAAAAUGACUGUACCUGCAGAAGAAGCCCCGGCUAACUACGUGCCAGCCGCCGCAGUAAAAC